GCGUUGUUCGGAUUCACUGGGCGUAAAGGGUGCGUAGGUGGUUGGGUAAGUCUGAUGUGAAAUCUCCGAGCUUAACUCGGAAAUGGCAUUGGAUACUAUUCGGCUAGAGGGUUGGAGGGGGGACUGGAAUACUUGGUGUAGCAGUGAAAUGCGUAGAUAUCAAGUGGAACACCAGUGGCGAAGGCGAGUCCCUGGACAACUCCUGACACUGAGGCACGAAAGCUAG
rnacentral:rRNA from 1 species